UACGAAGGGGGCUAGCGUUGUUCGGAAUCACUGGGCGUAAAGCGCACGUAGGCGAAUCUUUAAGUCAGGGGUGAAAUCCCGAGGCUCAACCCUCGGAACUGCCUUUGAUACUGGGGAUCUCGAGUCCGGGAGAGGGUGAGUGGGAACUGCGAGUGUAGAGGUGAAAUUCGUAGAUAUUCGCAAGAACACCAGUGGCGAAGGCGGCUCACUGGCCCGGAACUGACGCUGAGGUGCGAAAGCGUGGGGAGCAAACAGGG
rnacentral:rRNA from 1 species